UUAUAACUAAUAAUAUCAAGAUAUAUCAAUAACUUUCUAAUAAAAUGGGAAAUACUGGAUCAAACAAUUCAGGCGGAGCAGGAGGUGAAGGAGGAAAAGCCGCUGGUGCAGGAGGUGGUGGGGGAGGAAGUGGGGCCGGGAGUAAUGCUCCAGGUGGAAACGGUGGACAUGGCGGCAAGUUAUGGGGAAGUGAAGGCAGAAGAUACCUCUACCCUUCAGGCCUGUUUCCAUGGAGUUGAACAAACACUUUAAUAGCUCCUUUUAUUAUCUAUCACUUCAUUUUCAUAUAACAAUAUCGAUUAUCUUAUCUUCUUGUUUGUCUCAGGUAUCAUCUUCAUAACAUUGAAACAGACAAAUUUGUAACAAUAUCGAUCAAAAAUGUGCACUGUGUUACUUGGUAUCUGAUGUAUAAACCAAUCAUAUGCGUUCAUAAGACAGUUUGAACUUUGACAGAAAAUGAUGAACUCAUGUAAUUAUUCAAUAAUGUAAAUUAAGUAUAUGUUAUGGUAAUAAAUUUAUUCCUUUUUGAUAA